rnacentral:rRNA from 1 species
UACGUAGGGGGCAAGCGUUGUCCGGAAUUAUUGGGCGUAAAGAGCGCGUAGGCGGUCCGAUAAGUCGGCUGUGAAAGUCAGGGGCUCAACCCUUGGAAGCCGGCCGAUACUGUCGGACUAGAGUCCGGAAGAGGCGAGUGGAAUUCCCGGUGUAGCGGUGAAAUGCGCAGAUAUCGGGAGGAACACCAAUGGCGAAGGCAGCUCGCUGGGACGGUACUGACGCUGGAGGCGCGGAAAGCGCGGGGAGCAAACGGGG